rnacentral:rRNA from 1 species
AGAGUUUGAUCAUGGCUCAGAACGAACGCUGCGGCAUGCCUAACACAUGCAAGUCGAACGGGAUCCGGACUUCGGUCCGGUGAGAGUGGCGGACGGGUGAGUAACACGUGGGAACCUGCCUUUUGGUUCGGGAUAACCGCGGGAAACUGCGGCUAAUACCGGAUGCUCCCGAGAGGGAAAAGAUUUAUCGCCAGAAGAGGGGGCCCGCGUCCGAUUAGGUAGUUGGUGGGGUAAUGGCCUACCAAGCCGACGAUCGGUAGCUGGUCUGAGAGGAUGAUCAGCCACACUGGGGACUGAGAUACGGCCCAGACUCCUACGGGAGGCAGCAGUGGGGAAUAUUGGACAAUGGGGGGCAACCCUGAUCCAGCAAUGCCGCGUGAGUGAUGAAGGCCUUAGGGUUGUAAAGCUCUUUUGCCAGGGAAGAUGAUGACUGUACCUGGAGAAUAAGCCCCGGCUAACUUCGUG